AUUGAACGCUGGCGGCAGGCCUAACACAUGAAAGUCGAACGAGUGGCGGACGGGUGAGUAAUGUCUGGGAAACUGCCCGAUGGAGGGGGAUAACUACUGGAAACGGUAGCUAAUACCGCAUACCAUGGGAUGUGACCAGAUGGGAUAAGAUAGUAGGUGGGGUAAAGGCUCACCUAGGAGACGAUCCCUAGCUGGUCUGAGAGGAUGACCAGCCACACUGGACCGGAGACACGGUCCAGACUCCUACGGUGGGCAGCAGUGGGGAAUAUUGCACAAUGGGCGCAAGCCUGAUGCAGCCAUGCGGCGUGUAUGAAGAAGUCCUUCGGGUUGUAAAGUACUUUCAGCGGGGAGGCGUUACUCGCAGAAGAAGCACCGGCUAACUCCGUGCCAGCAGCCGCGGUAAUAC
rnacentral:rRNA from 1 species